rnacentral:lncRNA from 1 species
UGGGAACCUGGAUGAACAGAUUGCUCAGCUCAUGCAGUGCAAGCCCUUGUCCGAACAAGAGGUACCCAAAGCCUCUAACUUUUCAUAUUUUCAAGUAUUUUAAUUUUAAUUUUAGUCCAUUUCUUUUUAUUUUUUAAUUAAUUUUUGUGUAAAUGUGUUUUUGGUGAGAAUUUGUGUUGAGUUUUAGGAAAUGAGACGGAUCGGGCUAUGAAAUGUUAGACCUUGAUGGGGCAGAUCGAAAAAAGUGGUGCAUUUCUUUGUUUGCGACUAUGGGCAUGAUCUGUGAAUUGAAUUUAGCUGAAUUAGGGUUCUUAUGGGACUGAUCUAGGGUUGUGAUUUCAUAUAAUUUGGGGAUCCAUGGAUGAAUGUUUUGAUUUCACUUAGGUGGAUCAAUCUUUUUAUUGGAUUUACCGCGGGGUUAAAAAUUCUAAAGAAAUACAUGAACUUGGGGUGUGUAAGGAUUUGUUCUGCUGUUAGGAUUGGGUAUUGGCAAUGUGGGUCAGAUCCCAUUUUCUGUGACACUGCGGGUUUCCGCAUGUGGGUUUGUGAACAAGAGAAACAAAAUUUGCGUUUCUAUGUAUAAGGCCACAAAAACUGAAUCUUUCAAAGUGGGCGUGUGGUUCGGUGUGGUUUCGAGUGAAACCACAAUCGAAACCGAAACUUUUUGCGGUGCGGUGCGGUUUUGAAGCCAAAACCGAAAUAAAACCAAACAGUUUGGUUCGGUUCGGUGUGAUUUCAAACGGUUUCGGUUUGGUUUUUAAGAAAAA